GAUUAAAAAGCUUUUCGAAAGCAUGUGUUUUGAAAGCACAAGAAAAGAGUUAAAAUCUCUUAAUAAUCU
rnacentral:tRNA from 1 species